GGAAGGCAAUAAAAAAAAACUAAAGAACGGGAAUGCUGCUCGAAUCCUUCGGCAAAGGCAGAGAAUGAAAGCAUGCAAUAUGACACAAUGCGCUACGCAUUGAAAAAGGAGAUCUUUGGUUCAAGUGGUAAACCUGGAACGGUAGACAAGCUCAACAUUGUCAUUUUGGCAAAGAGC